UUGGCAGUACAUGACAGCUUGCUGUCAAAGUAAUUCGAGGGCUUCCUUUGCUUUUCUUCCCUGAUUCCCUCGCCCAAGUCAAGGGAUUACAGAAAAGUUGGUAAACGAUAUUAAACUCUCAAAAUAUCGAAGACAAGUGCUUGUUGUUAAUAUAAGGCAGCUUCCCUAGUGAAAAAGGCAAAAAUCUGCACAGAUUUUGUAUAAGUAGUAGAACAAACAAAGCAAACAGCCGAAGUUCAGCUUUGUGUUCAGCGCAUCUGCUAAGAAAUAAUGCUGGGUAACAAUAGAAGGGACAGGUCGCCCUUGCGGAGCGACACUGUCGGCCGCCGACGCGAAAUGAAGAAUCAAGAACCUACGAAAUCUGGCGAUGAUGUGAACAAUGUUAUGAAUCCUAUGAUGAUGACUAAUAUGUAUCCACAAGCAAACAUGAUGAUGGCUGGUGGAAUGUACCCAAACAUGAUGAUGCAGGGAGCUAUGAUGGGUGGGGGCAUGAUGCCUACUCCAGGUAUGGAUAUGAUGUCUGGAACAGGGAUGGACAUGGUCCCUCAACCAACUAUGGACAUGUCAGCUAUGGGAGGACAGGGUAUGGCACCUGCCGCACCUCCUGCUAUGGACAUGGGCAUGAUGGGCGGCAUGAUGAUGGACCCCUCCAUGAUGGGAAUGUAUCCUGGCAUGACUGGAGAUAUGUCAACAAUGCAAGACAAAAAAGAAAUCCUUUUUAAACAUGCUCGGCUCAUUCCUCCUGAUUCUAAUGCACCUAGACCUCUAAGGAGGUCUAAACCUCCUGGAUGCCGAACCAUAUUUGUAGGUGGAUUACCAGACAAGAUAACAGAAAGAAUUGUGAGAGAGAUUUUUGAGACUUAUGGCAGAAUACACACACUAAGAUUGUCUAAGAAAAACUUUUGUCAUAUUCGUUUUGAUAGAGAGGAGUGUGUAGAUCAAGCUAUGUUGAUAUCUGGAUACUGCAUUAAGCUAAUUAAUUUGAAAGAUAAAGAUGACAUGAAUGAGGAUGAUGAUGAUGAAAAUUCACAUUCCACUACUGGCUGGUUGCAUGUAGACUAUGCAUUGAGCCGUGAUGAUCAAAAUGACUUUGAGCGCCGACAAAGACAAGCUCUUAGAGCUCAGCAAGUACAGAUGCAGCAUUUGAAUGCUCAACAAGAAAUGGCGAGCCGCAGUAUAAGUUCAUAUGGUUCAGAUACACGUAGAAGAACACCAUCGCCGUCCAGAAUACAACCAUACUCAAAUGCAGCUAUGGUUCAAUUGGCAGAAAAACUCAAAAAUGAAGAACAUUUUUCAACAACUCUACCGACAUUGCUAGCUUGGUUAGAGAGAGGAGAAUGCACAAAAAAGAAUGCAAAUCAAUUUUAUUCCAUGAUACAAGCUACAAACGCACACAUACGCAGGUUGUAUAAUGAAAAGAUGCAGGCUGAAGAAGAGUUACUAGAUUGCAAGGAGCGUGUCAAGAAUCACAUAGCUACUGUGAUUGAACAACUCGAACAGGUGGCGAAAGUGUUUGCCGCGUCGUCCCAUCAACGUGUAUGGGAUCACUUCACCAAACCGCAGAGAAAGAACAUCGAGACGUGGCAGAAAAUGACACAGGAGUUUAAUUCAUUGAAGGAAGAAUUCAAUGAGAAGUUCUUUAGCGAGGAUGGAGAGUUUAAUGGCUUCAGUAGGUCAUCAGAACAUGGUAAUGAAGAUAUUCAACAAUUAAAGCGUGAGAAUGAGAGCCUGCAAUUUCAACUGGAAGCAUAUAAAAACGAGGUUGAUGUUAUUAAGGCUGAUUCUAUGAAAGAGAUGGAAAAGUUUAAGGCUCAGUUCAUAGCGCGGCAAGCUUUGCAGGGAGCUAUGGACAAAAAUCCGCCAUUGCCGUCGCCGAUCGUGAAGCCACCUCCGCCGCCGCCGUUGCCCGAGGAUCUGGACUCUGCUGUGCAUCUCAAAGAGGCUGUCGAGGCUGGCUGCGGGGAAGCCAAGCUUAUUGGAGUCAUGUCGGCUUUCUUACAAGUACAUCCACAAGGGGCCAGCCUGGACUACGUGGUGUCGUAUGUUCGCGCCAUAUUCCCGCACGUCUCCCAGGCUACAAUACACCAUGUUCUACAAAAACACACUGAUGUUUUCGAACGCACCACAAGCGGCGUUGGCGCCAAUAUUGAACAUCGUUGGUCAUUCAUUGCGUUCAAUAAAGAAGAAAAGGCUUCCACUUAACUAAACAUAGAGAGAUGAACUCUCUGCAUAUCAUAGUAAUUAUCUGCGUUCAAGAUAAAAUUGAAGCAAGAACAAAUAAUACUUUGUCAUGUACAAACUGAUGUCUGAAUGUUUAGAUUGUAAUGACUAGACAUUGGGUUAUAAGCAUGUGCUUAUACAUAUCACUUUAAUUUUGCAGCGUUAUUGUAUAGUUUUUUUAUAAAUCGUGCAUGAGUUAAAAUGUCAGUCUUGUAUUUUGUGGGAAUGGUUUUUUUUGGGAAUAAAGAAUGGGGUAUUUAUUAAAAACGACAUGAAGUCGUGAAAGCCAAAUCUCUGUAGAAAUGUUGAGAAAAUAAAUCUAAAUUCAGAUUAUAACAAAGCUUUCUUAUAAUCCGUUGUCUAGGUGAUCCCCAGGCAAUUUUAAGCAAUCAAAAUUGGUAAAGAGAUACCUAACCAUUUUAGACUGCAGACUUUAUUCAUUAUAUUAUUUCAAACCAUUCAAAUGUUUAUUUUUCCAACAUAUGAUUAGUAAAAGUUAGAUGAUCAAUUAGAUUUUAAGUUCUAAAUAUAGAUUAUUAUUAAAACCUGCGUAAGGAGGCAUUUAUGUGUGAUACAUAAAAAACUUAAAAAUAUUUCUUUUACAAUUGAUGGAGGAGAAGUAAAUUAAAUUCCAAGGGAUAGGUUGCCAACCUAAGUAUGUAUUCUAUUUUGUUAUUCUUUAUGGAUGGGACUAUUAUAAUGAUGCUGAAAUUGUAUCUUGUAAGGCAAACAAAAUAAACCUAAAUCCAUGGUUUGUUUUAACAGGUCAAAAUACAGCCUGUUGCGUUAAAAUAUUAUUAAUAGCAUUUAUGAUAACAAGUUGCUGUUAAAGACUGGAAAAUUUAUGUGUCUUAUUAUAUUAAAAUAUUAACUAUCCACAACUUAAUAACAAUAAAAACUUUUACAUAAUACCAUCUUUAUGCUGUGAUUACAUUUACAUGCAUCUGGCCCUUUAAAUUAAAGACUACAAUUUUGCAGUACCUCCAUCUUCUUUAUGUUAUAAGACCACCACCAUCCCUAAUGUGAUUACUACACUAAACCUACAUUAUGGUUUCAGAAUAAAUAAUGUAUAAAAACAU
rnacentral:misc_RNA from 1 species